AUGUCAACGGUCAUCGUGGUACUUCGUUCCGGUCUUGUAGUCGUACUAGGCAUCGGUGGACCUUCGAGGGACUUGCAUAUCCGAAGGGAUACUUGGCGAUCGACGGACGUCGUGGUACUUGAUGGUCUGGGUCUUGGUGUAUCCAAAACGGUCAUCGAUCAUGGAACUUGGCGAAACCCAGGGACGCUCAAGUCUGUGCAGGACUUGGUCUUGCUGUCCAGUACAGAGAGUUGCCGAUCAUGGCGUCCAUUCGACCGACAGCGAAGGCGCGCGAACCAGCAGCAGGGGGCUGCUGAGGUGGCGACCAUGUGGCUGUCACAGUCACACGCAACGCAUCACAGGAAGAUGACGAAGGCCUCAGGCAUGAAGGCUCGAAUGUUGAAGGAGGAAGGGGCCGACGGUGUCGGGGCUGCAUCUUGGCUAUCCAGUGACAGCAGGGGAUGGAGCUCGAUCGAGGCGGAGCAGCGGUAG
rnacentral:rRNA from 1 species